GUUCCUGCCGGCUGGGCACAUUUUAGUCUUUGAUUGCAAACAAUGAAGUUUCUGGUGCUUUUCCUUUCCCUAAUGGCCGCCGCGGGAUGUGUCCUGUCCCAAGUUCAGCUGGCCCAGUCCGGUCCAGGGGUGGUGAAGCCCGGAGCGACCCUGACACUGACCUGUGCUAUCACCGGUGACUCGGUCACUAGUCUCUACUGGGAAUGGGUCCGACAGGCUCCCGGGAAAGGGCUGGAGUGGGUGGGACAGAUCGACUGGUCCGGCUCCAAGUGGCGCAUAUACUACGGCCCGUCUUUCCAGAGCCGAGCAACCCUCAGCGCAGAUUCCUCCAAGAACCAGUUCUCCCUGCAGCUCCGCUCGCUGACAGCCGCGGACACCGCCACCUAUUACUGCGCCCGGAGAGACACGGUGACACGGGGCAGAGCGGGGCUGGUACAAAAAGGGGAAGCGGGUGUCCUUUCUCAGGUGCAGCUGGUCGAGUCUGGCCCGGGCGUGGUGAAGCCUGGACAGACCCUCACACUGACCUGUGCUGUCUCCAUCACUGACAGCAGCUACGCGUGGAGCUGGGUCCAGCAGCCCCCCGGGAAAGGGCUGGAGUGA